rnacentral:rRNA from 1 species
AGCAGUGGGGAAUUUUGGACAAUGGGGGAAACCCUGAUCCAGCCAUCCCGCGUGUGCGAUGAAGGCCUUCGGGUUGUAAAGCACUUUUGGCAGGAAAGAAACGUCAUGGGUUAAUACCCCGUGAAACUGACGGUACCUGCAGAAUAAGCACCGGCUAACUACGUGCCAGCAGCCGCGGUAAUACGUAGGGUGCAAGCGUUAAUCGGAAUUACUGGGCGUAAAGCGUGCGCAGGCGGUUCGGAAAGAAAGAUGUGAAAUCCCAGAGCUUAACUUUGGAACUGCAUUUUUAACUACCGAGCUAGAGUGUGUCAGAGGGAGGUGGAAUUCCGCGUGUAGCAGUGAAAUGCGUAGAUAUGCGGAGGAACACCGAUGGCGAAGGCAGCCUCCUGGGAUAACACUGACGCUCAUGCACGAAAGCGUGGGGAGCAAACAGGAUUAGAUACCCUGGUAGUCCACGCCGUAAACGAUGUCAACUAGCCGUUGGGAGCCUUGAGCUCUUAGUGGCGCAGCUAACGCAUUAAGUUGACCGCCUGGGGAGUACGGCCGCAAGGUUAAAACUCAAAUGAAUUGACGG